rnacentral:rRNA from 1 species
CUUAAAGGAAGUUGACGGGGCCCGCACAAGCGGUGGAGUAUGUGGUUUAAUUCGAUGCAACGCGAAGAACCUUACCUGGUCUUGACAUCCCGGAGACCCUUAGGAAACUAGGGGGUGCUUCCAUCUGGAAGAAUCUGGAGACAGGUGCUGCAUGGCUGUCGUCAGCUCGUGUCGUGAGAUGUUGGGUUAAGUCCCGCAACGAGCGCAACCCUUGCCUUUAGUUGCCAGCAGUUCGGCUGGGCACUCUAAAGGGACUGCCGGUGUUAAACCGGAGGAAGGUGGGGAUGACGUCAAGUCCUCAUGGCCUUUAUGACCAGGGCUACACACGUACUACAAUGGCCGAUACAAAGGGCAGCGACACUGCGAGGUGAAGCCAAUCCCGUAAAAUCGGUCUCAGUCCGGAUUGGAGUCUGCAACUCGACUCCAUGAAGUUGGAAUCGCUAGUAAUCGUGGAUCAGCAUGCCACGGUGAAUACGUUCCCGGGCCUU